rnacentral:rRNA from 1 species
UACGAAGGGGGCUAGCGUUGCUCGGAAUCACUGGGCGUAAAGGGUGCGUAGGCGGGUCUUUAAGUCAGGGGUGAAAUCCUGGAGCUCAACUCCAGAACUGCCUUUGAUACUGAAGAUCUUGAGUUCGGGAGAGGUGAGUGGAACUGCGAGUGUAGAGGUGAAAUUCGUAGAUAUUCGCAAGAACACCAGUGGCGAAGGCAGCUCACUGGCCCGAUACUGACGCUGAGGCACGAAAGCGUGGGGGAGACAA